UUCUUAAAUUAAAAUUGGAUGCCUUUUUGGAGCUGAAAUCGGGUCUCACCCCCGUCUUACACGGGCUCCCUGAGAUGAGGAGAAUGACGCAGUGGGGGAGCCCGAGGUCACUUGUGCGGACGGGUGGACUUAGGGACAGAACCGUGUCCUGAUUGCCCCCAGCCACAGAUAAGAAAACUGGAGUCCAGAGGAAUCAAGUUACUUAUCCAAGUUUAAACAUCCAGUAAGCGGCAGAACUGGGAUUUCAACCCAGACAGCCAGGCUGCAGAGCAGCACUGCCCCGUACAUUUCCAUGCAAACCGCAUACGUGAUGUCAAAGGGUUAACAGACACAUUAGAAAAUGGUGCAAUUUCCCUGAAGGGAGAAGAAGAUGAUUCUGAACUGCGGACACGCUCCCAGGGCAGUGGUAAUUCCCUCGCGUUUUCCUGUGAGCCGGCAUACGUACAGGAAAGGCUCUUUCCUACCUGAUAAGCCAACGGCUCCCCUGAGGUAGAAAUCU